GCAUUUAGAGGUUGGGCAGAGGAAAUAUGCCUGAGAAGUGACCAGAGGGAUCACAAAACAAACAUUCUCAAAAGAAUUGCCUGCUGCUGACAGAUUAAAAUGGCAAAACUUUAAGUCACAUUGACACAGAUGGUCUCAGUUACCACAGACUGCUAAAAUUGCAGAGGUCAUCCCUUGCUUCACAACUGUUGAAAUUCUUCAAUUUAAAAGUAGCCUCAUAUUUGUGCAUCAAAGGUAAAUGU